GAUGAACGCUGGCGGCGUGCCUAAUACAUGCAAGUCGAGCGAACAGACGAGGAGCUUGCUCCUCUGACGUUAGCGGCGGACGGGUGAGUAACACGUGGAUAACCUACCUAUAAGACUGGGAUAACUUCGGGAAACCGGCGCUAAUACCGGAUAAUAUAUUGAACCGCAUGGUUCAAUAGUGAAAGACGGUGUUGCUGUCACUUAUAGAUGGAUCCGCGCCGCAUUAGCUAGUUGGUAAGGUAACGGCUUACCAAGGCAACGAUGCGUAGCCGACCUGAGAGGGUGAUCGGCCACACUGGAACUGAGACACGGUCCAGACUCCUACGGGAGGCAGCAGUAGGGAAUCUUCCGCAAUGGGCGAAAGCCUGACGGAGCAACGCCGCGUGAGUGAUGAAGGUCUUCGGAUCGUAAAACUCUGUUAUUAGGGAAGAACAAAUGUGUAAGUAACUAUGCACGUCUUGACGGUACCUAAUCAGAAAGCCACGGCUAACUACGUG
rnacentral:rRNA from 1 species